CCUACGGGAGGCAGCAGUGGGGAAUUUUGGACAAUGGGCGAAAGCCUGAUCCAGCAAUGCCGCGUGAGUGAAGAAGGCCUUCGGGUUGUAAAGCUCUUUUGUCAGGGAAGAAACGGUGAGAGCUAAUAUCUCUUGCUAAUGACGGUACCUGAAGAAUAAGCACCGGCUAACUACGUGCCAGCAGCCGCGGUAAUACGUAGGGUGCAAGCGUUAAUCGGAAUUACUGGGCGUAAAGCGUGCGCAGGCGGUUUUGUAAGUCUGAUGUGAAAUCCCCGGGCUCAACCUGGGAAUUGCAUUGGAGACUGCAAGGCUAGAAUCUGGCAGAGGGGGGUUAGAAUUCCACGUGUAGCAGUGAAAUGCGUAGAUAUGUGGAGGAACACCGGAUGGCGAAGGCAGCCCCCUGGGUCAAGAUUGACGCUCAUGCACGAAAGCGUGGGGAGCAAACAGGAUUAGAUACCCUGGUAGUCCACGCCCUAAACGAUGUCUACUAGUUGUCGGGUCUUAAUUGACUUGGUAACGCAGCUAACGCGUGAAGUAGACCGCCUGGGGAGUACGGUCGCAAGNUUAAAACCGUCAAAGGAAUUGACGG
rnacentral:rRNA from 1 species